rnacentral:lncRNA from 1 species
CUUUCUUCUACCUUUUUCUGGAGGGGAGACCUCCAGAGGAGGGAGAGCCAUGGCAAGUGCUUGCUUCUUCUCCACCUAAAUCUCAGUUCCUAGCUGGGGCGUGGCUGGGAAGAAAGAUUAGAGUGGCUCACUGCAAUCCCAGGGAAGCCUUUUAAGAGGCUUGAAUCAGGAUCAGUGCUGGGCAGAAGUGCCACCUCUCUAGGUGGGAGGUGAGAACUCCUCUGACCAUUAUGGCCUGUAGUGAAGAUGACUGAAACCCGGACUGUAAUGUGACUCACAUUCAGGAGCAACAUACUACAGAGUAGAGGGUGCAGAUGGGAAGACCUGUCCAUUUAGCAAAAAUACUGAAACAACAGCAAAAGGGGUAAAGGCUUUAAAAGAUACUUCUUCCUGGAGGGAAGGACUCUUUCUGAAGGUGCCUUUGUUAAGUCUGACCUUGUGCUUCAUCCGGAGAAAGGUGACCCUGUCUCUGCCCCACCAGAGCUGGGCUUAUGUGAGCUGAAGCCAUCCUGAGACUGGGCUGCUGUGUCUUCUGCUCCACCGGCAGCUGCUUGCACUGCAGCAUCCUGCAGCUCAAACACGUUCGUCUCUCCGGAGCACCCACCAGAAAUACAAAAUGAAAACAGAGCUGCACUGAGGGACUGGGAACAUGGCCUGCUCUGUGAAAUUAAAGGGGUGCCAAACAGUGUCCUGAGCCAUUCCUGUCACCGACUCCUGCCUCCCCAGCAGGUGGGUUCUCAGCAGGCCGUGCUCCACUCAGCGCCAGAGCUGCUCUCACAGGCUGUUCUGCAGGGCCAGGGGCCAGUCAGUCACUCUGCAAUACCCAGAGGAAUGAGAGAGGCGAGGCCCAUGCUUGGAUAUGUGCAGGUAAACCCAGGAGGUCUCCACGGUGUUCAGGAUUCACUUCCUUUCCCGUUUCAGUUGUGCGGAGUAUAUGCAGCUAAUGGCAGCUGCUACUUUACCCCACUGGAUCAGAUCCAACGAGACAUCUAGGUAUUAUAUGUCUAUGGACUCCUGCUGAGUGCAGUGCCAAGUUGGAUACACAAACAAGAAAGAGCUUGACUCUCAGGUUCCUCUUUGGGUCUGGCUUUUAGCUUUGGACAUUUUCAUUCCAAUGUUAUUCCAAUUGCUUCAGCCUCAUGUGUUUGGAAAUAUUGCAAAUAAA